rnacentral:misc_RNA from 1 species
GUGAAUCAUCGAAUUUUUGAACGCAAAUUGCACUCUUUGGUAUUCCGAAGAGUAUGCUUGUUUGAGGGUUGUUCCAAUAAAAUCGUUUUUUUAAAAAACGGUUCUGAGUUUUCAAAGGUUCCAGGUUUUUGGUAAUUUUAAAUUCAUCUUAACAAUAUUUUUGUUAUGAUAUUGGAAUUGUUAUUAUUCUUACUACUCGUGAGUUUAUUUAACAAUCGUUUACUUGUGGUUACGUCGUAUCAUUGGCCCAAUCCUUUUGAUUGAAUCGCAUGAUAAAAUUUCCUUUCGGCACC